AUUGAACGCUGGCGGCAUGCUUUACACAUGCAAGUCGAACGGUAACAGGGAGCUUGCUCCGCUGACGAGUGGCGAACGGGUGAGUAAUGCGUCGGAACGUGCCGAGUAGUGGGGGAUAACGCAUCGAAAGGUGUGCUAAUACCGCAUACGUACUGAGGUAGAAAGUGGGGGACCUUCGGGCCUCACGCUAUUCGAGCGGCCGACGUCUGACUAGCUAGUUGGUAAGGUAAAGGCUCACCAAGGCGACGAUCAGUAGCGGGUCUGAGAGGAUGAUCCGCCACACUGGGACUGAGACACGGCCCAGACUCCUACGGGAGGCAGCAGUGGGGAAUUUUGGACAAUGGGCGCAAGCCUGAUCCAGCCAUGCCGCGUGUCUGAAGAAGGCCUUCGGGUUGUAAAGGACUUUUGUCCGGGAGCAAAUGCCUGGUGUUAAUAGCACUGGGAGCUGAGAGUACCGGAAGAAUAAGCACCGGCUAACUACGUGCCAGCAGCCGCCGUAAGAC
rnacentral:rRNA from 1 species